GACGAACGCUGGCGGCGUGCUUAACACAUGCAAGUCGAACGGAGUGGCGAACGGGUGAGUAACACGUGGGUGAUCUGCCUUGCACUUCGGGAUAAGCUUGGGGAACUGGGUCUAAUACCGGAUAGUGCAAGAUGGGCGCGCGGCCUCUCAGCUUGUUGGUGGGGUAAUGGCCGACCAAGGCGUCGACGGAUAGCCGGCCUGGGAGGGUGUACGGCCACAUUAGGACUGCGGUAGGGCCGAGUGUCGUACGGGGGGCAGCAGUGGGGAAUAUUGCACAAUUGGCGGAGGCCUGAUGCAGCGACGCCGCGUGGGGGAUGAAGGCCUUCGGGUUGGGAACUACUUGCGACAGGGACGCGGUACCUGUAUAAGAAGCACCGGCUAACUACGUGCCAGCAGCCGCGGUAAUAC
rnacentral:rRNA from 1 species